ensembl:lncRNA
CAGAGUCAGACAUGACUGAAGCGACUUAGCAGCAGCAGCAGGACCAAUUAUAAAAUACCAAGCCACAGGAAAACAUCAAGAAAGAAGGUGGUUUCAGACAGACUUGCUGCAAGUGCCAGGUGACUGGUCUCCAUUGUUGGUGAAUUUUAUCUGCAAACUUGGCACACCCUACCUCCCAGCUCCACCUGGAGGGCACCCCAUUUCAUCCUCAGGAUGGCAUCUACCUGGAGCCUGCGGCCACCACCAUAGACUCCUUGCGAUUGUUGCGUCGGCAUGUCUGUCAUCAAUGGUUCCUGAGACGUAAUCCUCUCAGAAAUGUAGUCGACAUUCUUGUUUGCUUUAGAGUAGAAAAUCCUCUAAUUCGAAAAAGUGCAUGAUCUCAAUGUUCAUAGCCAUGCUAUUUACAUUAGCCAAGACAUGGAAGCUACUAAGUGUCUGCCAACAAAGGAACGGAUAAAAAAGUUGUGGUAUAUAUAUAUAGAUAUAGAUAUAGAUGUAGAUAUAUACACAAUGGAAUAUUACUCAGCCAUAAAAAUGAAUGAAAUAAUUCUGUUUGAACCAACGUGGAUGGAUCUAGAGGUUAUUAUACUAAGUGAAGUGAGUCAGAUAGAGAAAGACAAAUAUUAUAUGAUAUCAAGAAAGCUGAGCACCAAAG